UACGGAGGGUGCGAGCGUUGUCCGGAAUCACUGGGCGUAAAGGCGCGUAGGCGGCCUGAUAAGUAGGGGGUGAAAUCUUGCGGCUUAACCGCAAGGCUGCCUUCUAAACUGUCAGGCUAGAGCACAGUAGAGGCAGGUGGAAUUCCCGGUGUAGCGGUGGAAUGCGUAGAGAUCGGGAAGAACAUCAGUGGCGAAGGCGGCCUGCUGGGCUGUUGCUGACGCUGAGGCGCGACAGCGUGGGGAGCAAACAGG
rnacentral:rRNA from 1 species